AUUGAACGCUGGCGGCAGGCCUAAGACAUGCAAGUCGAGCGGAGCGGCGGACGGGUGAGUAAUGCCUAGGAAUCUGCCUGGUAGUGGGGGAUACCGUCCGGAAACGGGCGCUAAUAACGCAUACUAUCAGUUGCGCCUAGGUCGGAUUGGCUAGUUGGUGCGGUAAAGGGCUACCAAGGCGACGAUCCGUAACUGGUCUGCGAGGCUGAUCGGUCACACUGGAACUGAGACACGGUCCAGACUGCGACGGGAGGCAGCAGGGGGGAAUAUUGGACAAUGGGCGAAAGCCUGAUCCAGCCAUGCCGCGUGGGUGAAGAAGGUCUUCGGAUUGUAAAGCUCUUUAAGUUGAGAGGCGUUACCAACAGAAUAAGCACCGGCUAACUUCGUGCCAGCAGCCGCGGUAAUAC
rnacentral:rRNA from 1 species